CCUCCAACGUUGAUCCACACGGAGACUUGAUCAACCCACUAGCACCUAUUUAAAUAUUCUCAGUAAUUAAAUUCUAAUUUAUCAGAAUUUAAAUGUAAUUUGGGCAGAAUCUCCUUUCUUGGCUUUGCUGUCACACUGUUGGACCUUUUCUUGCCAUCCUUUCUUGCUCCUUGUCACCUUAAUUUUUAUUCUAAUUCUCUAAGCCGUUUGAAAGACUUCUUGUCCUUCAUCAGGACCUUGUCUAGGCUAAAGAAGAAGAAUAAAAAAAAUUGGACAAGAAGAGCCUAUUGUAAGAAAGAAGGAAGAGUUUGGAAUGAGCGAUGACUCCUCGACGUGCACCCCUAUUUAUAUUGCACGUAGGGGUGCAAACCAAGCAUCUCACGCCCACUCUCAAUUCAUCUCAUGCCUCCUCUCAAUUUCUCACACUCCAUUUGAUGAGAAAAAGCCAUGUGGACAUCAAAAUUGGGUUGAAGAGGCAUCUUAUUUCAGAAGGAUUCUCCGAACUCAACUUACGGUGUUCACAUGAGAAGUCGCAAUGCUUCUCUUAUUGGCGCCAUCAACCCAUGCCUUUGGAUCCAGAAGGAAGCCCAUCCAAUGGCCAAGAUAGAGGGUGCCAACAUUAGGGUGGGCGUAAGAGAUAAGGGGCAUGGAACAAUUCAAAAAAACUCUCUCCAUUUGAUUUGGUCCAAGGGGCGCUUCCAAGGGGUGGCACAUGGGAUUUCAUCCUUAUCUCUUCCCAUAAAUAUUCUACAGUAUUUCAGAUACAGAAGGACUCUUAGGUGCCUUCUAAGAGAUCUGAAAGCCUCGUAGAAUAAAAAACCAUGGAAGAAAAAUGGAUAAGACCAAGUUAAGGGGGGCGCCAACUCUAUCCAUGCGCCAUGUGGCAUAUGCACAUGGAUUUAAAUCCAUUAUCUCAUUUCCUAAUUUUUCUAUGAAGAGUUUAAUACUCAGAAGGACUCUUAGGUGCCUCUUAAGAUUUUUGAAAAUUUUUCAUAGAAUAAAAGCCAUGGAGAAAAUAGAUAAGACCAUGUUAAGGGGCGCCAACUCCCUCCAUGCGCCAUGUGGCACAUGCGCAUGGAUUUAAAUCCACACGCCAAGAGAGAGACUCUUAGGCAUGUGGUUCCCUGGUUUUUGGCACCCAACAGUAAGCUCAAUCAGAAUACUUUAAAUCCAUUUCAAGACCAAAUCCAAUUUGACUCAAAUUAGUUCUAAAUUAGCCCAAAUCAGAAUCCGAUUCGAAUCCGAUUUGAAUCUAGAUGCUAGGGUUUGCAACAUGUGCUAGCAUGUUUAACUUGCAAACAUGGUUUAAUCAAAUUAAACCCAUGAUCAAUUCUCUUUGUGUGUGACCCAUUGGGUUCCACAUCUAGCCAGUAGAGAGUCCGGGUGCAAUUUGACCUAAUUUGGUUAGAACACAACCGAGUCGAUUUAGGUCAAAUCUANN
rnacentral:lncRNA from 1 species